AGCUUUGCGCAGUGGCAGUAUCGUAGCCAAUGAGGUUUAACCGAGGUGCGAUUAUUGCUAAUUGAAAUGUAAAUAAGAAAUAACCAUAUAAUAAAAUUGGAGGAAAAAAAA
rnacentral:snRNA from 1 species